rnacentral:rRNA from 1 species
CCUACGGGUGGCUGCAGUGGGGAAUAUUGCGCAAUGGGCGAAAGCCUGACGCAGCAACGCCGCGUGUGUGAUGAAGGCCUUCGGGUUGUAAAGCACUGUUCAGAGGGAAGAAGUGACGGGGGUAAACACUCCGUUUUGACGGUACCUCUGAAGAAAGCACUGGCUAACUCCGUGCCAGCAGCCGCGGUAAUACGGAGAGUGCAAGCGUUGUGCGGAAUUAUUGGGUGUGAGGGGCGUCAAGUUGGGAUGGAAAUCCCGCGGCUCAACCGAGGACGUGCACUUGAAACUGCUAAGCUUGAGUAUCGGAGGGGGCAGCGGAAUUCCUGGUGUAGAGGUGAAAUUCGUAGAUAUCAGGAGGAACACCAGUGGCGAAGGCGGCUGCCUGGCCGAAUACUGACACUGAAGCGCGAAAGCGUGGGGAGCAAACAGGAUUAGAUACCCUGGUAGUC